GACUUCAUUGCUUUCUACAGCUAUCCGAAAGGAGGUUUUAGUGAGGAGUCUCCCUUUUAUCAGGUAACCUUGCAUCAAGUCAGACUGACAGAUAACUGCAUUGUCCUUGACCUCAGCCAUGCUUUGGAUCCUUGAGAAGUGAGUGUGUACAGAUAGCAGUAGAGGGGCAGUCUGACAAAAUGACAUCUGACAUGAAGCAAAGCGCACUGUCUUGGUGAGCAUUUGCCUGCAUUCCCAAGGAGGCUAAUCCAUCCUAGAUACAGUACGUGUAACUUCCGGGAAGUCUAAAGUGCUUCAACGAUAAGGAACGUGCGGUGUUCUCUGAAAUCGCUGUUUCACUCAGGCAGAUGUGCAUGCAUAUAUCUGCAGGAGACAACCAUAAAGCAUCAUCCUGAAGUCAUCCUAGCUAAAAAAAAAACAACCCAGCUCCAAAGAAACCACCAGAUGCUGAGACUUUACAUUCCUGAGGAAGAGAACUGCUCAGUAAAUACUCCUACACUGCCUCCAAGACUCAAAAAUCAAGAUAACUGGGUUUUCUCUUCUGCAAAAUGGAAGUGAAAAGGAAGCCUCUGUUCAGAAAGUGCCCAUGAAUACUCAAGGCAAGCUGUAGCACUGUCUGUUCAGUCCAGGUCACACUAAAUCCUGACGUGAGAAAAGCGCUGUAACAGAAGUGUUGCAAUUUUUGGUCCCCCCCCCUUCACUGACUCUGAUGGCUCCUCAGCAAAAAUUCCUAG
rnacentral:lncRNA from 1 species